GACGAACGCUGGCGGCGUGCCUAACACAUGCAAGUCGAACGGAGUAAUUUCUUCGGAGAUUACUUAGUGGCGAACGGGUGAGUAACGCGUGAGAAACCUACCUUUCAGUGGGGGGACAACAGUUGGAAACGACUGCUAAUACCGCAUAAUGUGCCGGGAGGGCAUCCUCCUGGUACCAAAGCUUUAUGUGCUGAAAGAUGGUCUCGCGUCUGAUUAGCUAGUUGGUGAGGCAACGGCUCACCAAGGCGACGAUCAGUAGCCGGUCUGAGAGGAUGAACGGCCACAUUGGGACUGAGACACGGACCAGACUCCUACGGGAGGCAGCAGUGAGGAAUAUUGGUCAAUGGGCGAGAGCCUGAACCAGCCAAGCCGCGUGAGGGACGACGGUACUAAGUAUUGUAAACCUCUUUUGUCAGGGAACAAAGAGACCACGUGUGGUAAGAUGAGUGUACCUGAAGAAAAAGCAUCGGCUAACUCCGUG
rnacentral:rRNA from 1 species